rnacentral:rRNA from 1 species
AUUGAACGCUGGCGGAAUGCUUUACACAUGCAAGUCGAACGGCAGCACGGACUUCGGUCUGGUGGCGAGUGGCGAACGGGUGAGUAAUACAUCGGAACGUGCCCAGUCGUGGGGGAUAACGUAGCGAAAGCUACGCUAAUACCGCAUACGAUCUAAGGAUGAAAGCGGGGGAUCGCAAGACCUCGCGCGAUUGGAGCGGCCCAUGGCAGAUUAGGUAGUUGGUGGGGUAAAGGCUCACCAAGCCGACGAUCUGUAGCUGGUCUGAGAGGACGACCAGCCACACUGGGACUGAGGCACGGCCCAGACUCCUACGGGAGGCAUCAGUGGGGAAUUUUGGACAAUGGGCGCAAGCCUGAUCCAGACAUUCCGCGUGCAGGAUGAAGGCCCUCGGGUUGUAAACUGCUUUUGUACGGAACGAAAAGGCUCUGGUUAAUACCCGGGGCUCAUGACGGUACCGUAAGAAUAAGCACCGGCUAACUACGUGCCAGCCGCCGCAGUAA